AUGAUAAUUGCACGUAUAUCGCACUUCAAGCCGAAAUAUCAUAUAUUAUUUACAGUCUGGGGAAGAAAUAUGAGACUACAGAUAAGAGGGAGAGGAGAGAUUAAUUUCAUCUCUUUGGUAAACACCCGCAGCAGCUGGGUGAGGCGUAAACAGGGGCCGUACCUGGCCAGAAGCAGCGCCUGCCGCGCGGACAGACGAGGGGUGGAGACGGCAGCUGGGAUCUGCAGCAGAGAAUCUGCACCUAGAUGUGCACCUGCCUGCGUGGCUCUUCCUUCCCUGCGUGCUGCCGAUGGGAUGGCAACGGCCACGCUCUUGGAACACGAAGGUGUGUGAAGAAACAAAGCUGGAGUAAGGGCAUGAAAAGGCAUCCUGGGGGAAAUAGGUCAGUCCUUUAUUUACCGUAGUGCUUUAGCUCUGAUUAUGCAAGGAGCUUAAUGCUGCUUCAGGUAGAGUAGGGCCUUGUAUUUCUAUGCAACACCUGCAGCGGCGGCGUGCUCUGCCAUUCCUCUGCCCGCGUUCCCAUUGAAUAAUAAGAACCAGGUUUUGGAAAGUACGCCAAACAUCUGGUAAAAUCAGGGCUCUACAAGUUUAUUCGAAAAUAUUCGUGAGCGUCACAGAUUUGCCAGGUGGUGAGCACUGUUGAAAAUCUGUCCCUAAUUUACUAUGUAAAUUAGGCCAUUAGGUUAAAUUGAUCUGCUUGUAAGUUAGCGUGCUACCCAGUAUGAGCUACGGGGGUAGAAGCUGUCCUGGUAAGACAUACACAUUUGACUAAAUUGUAUUUACAUUCCCUGCUCUCUUUAUGUGGUGGUCAUCCCCCUGUGAGUCAUCCCAAUACGCUCCAGGUUAUGUGGGAAUCUCGUCGUGGCAAAAUGUUGAUUUAAUGAGCUUGGAACAAGAGACACACAACAUCAAAAGCUGGGACACC
rnacentral:lncRNA from 1 species